AGAGAACAGAAAGCAUCAUCUAUCAUCAGUGUCUGCUUCAGAAGUGCCUACGUUUGAUCUGAGACGACACAUCUGAGCUCUCCACUACAGCGUGCCUACCAUACCACUGUGUGUGUGUGUGUGUGUGAUUGAGUGUGUGUGUGUGUGUGUGAGGCUGCAUGUCUGAGAAUCCCAAAUGUCUUGAAUCCUUCAAACCUGAUGUGAAUAAAACAGGAUGAUGGAGCAACUU